GAGCAGCAUCUUUCCAAGAUCGAUUGUCGCAGUGAGCAGAGACGAAGAGGCUUGCGAAAACAGCGAAGAGAACGGUGUGUAGAGUCGGAGUCAGCAUGACGAACAGUGUUGGACGAUGUUCGUCCUCUUCAGUUUGGUACAUGAUGAAGAUGCAGGUGAAAGUGAGCCGUCAGUGAUGAGGAAACACGGAGAUGUUGCAGUUACUGCUUCUGAAGUCUUAACUAAUAUGUAACUGAUCUUUGAAUCUUAUUUGCUCGCUGUUCAUAGCCCCUCAUGUUCUCUGAAAUCCGUGCAUCGUUCAUGCAUUUUAGUUGUUUCGUGGGUGAUUCGAAUGAAGGGGGUCAGAAUGUUUCGUAUUCAUCUGAAUGACAUUCAUUCAUCUCA